CUGAGGUAGCCAUGUCUUUGCCAGGCAGAAGGCGCAUGUGUUCCUGAACGGCGUCGGUCAACUAUAGGGAUUCACCUGUAGGUAUCCUUACUCAGAGGGGGGUACAGAGAACAAACGUGGACUGUGUUCUUCUAAGGAGAGAACUCUGAGUGAUUUGGUCAGGGGACAUGUGGGUUAGUGAGAACGGCAGAGGGCCUGAGUUCUGCUUGGGGAACCGACUGGACAGAAGGCAGCGGAACCCUCCACUCAGGAAUCUCCACCGGCCCAGAUGUCCCAUCAACGCCGCCAGCUGGCCGCGUGGCUCUGGCUCAGUCCUCCGCCAGGAGAAGGCACCUUGUUAUCUGUCCUUUGUCAGUAAGGCCAUCCUGUGGGACCGGGCAUUCAACCAGUGGACAGACCAUACUGCCCCUGAUGGACGUCCCUCCCUGUGUCCUCGUUUCCUGGCCCACAUGAAGGCCUGUCCUGCAGACCUUAGACCCCGAUGUUUCCUAUCCAGCAAGCCCAGGCCACGACCUCCUCAGCAGGGACAGACUGAAGUAAGACAAUCCUUGAGUGCACCGAAGAUGCAUGCAUAUACAGUGUCCAGGAGCAGACCGCAGUACCCCAACACCACCAGGAGGAGGUGCUCCGCUGUUGUUGUUCCCUGUGUUCCAACACCAGUUUCACCCUGUCCCAGCAGAGCCUCCCCUGAGCUCCGUGUCACUGAAUCUAGGCCACCAAGUAUCAAUCCCCACCCUGAUUCGGCCCCACCUCAGAUCCAUCAUCCGGAGGGGGGGACGGAUACCAAGGAUGAGGCACUAGAGAGGGGGGAAGUCCUCUUGGCUACUUCAGUGGCCUUCUGCCCUCCAGGGCCAGACUUAGACCUCAGUUGUGGGCCUGAAGACACUGGUCCCUUGGCCUCUCCGGUACCUAGUUUCUCAGAGGGUUCGCUCUCAGACUUCACUCGUCCCCCAUCCAGCCAGUUCAGCCGGAGCACUGACCUGAGUAGUGGACGAAGCAGUGUCCUAUCUGAGGAUCUGAGUGGCCUGAACUCUCCACUCUCCCGGCUCUGCUCCCCUUCCAUGUCCCUGUCUGCUCUGGCCUCCUGCACCCCACAGGACUCCCCAACACCCCAACCCCUAAACCCAACCCUUCACCCACCUCUCCACCGCCCUGUCUCGGACCAGCUACAGCGCCGCUCAUCUGACUGGACUACCCCGGAGCCCCAGUCGGGCUAUGUCCUUUCACGUUACCCAGAACCAUCCCUGGACCCCAACCGGGACUGUGCUGCCCCAUCUUUUCCCUCAGAGACCUGGCGGUCCAGUCCUAGCCCGCAAUGCGGAAUAACCCUCAGGCCUGGGUCAGGCCUGGUCUCAGGUUCCGCCUCACCUUCUACGACGACUGAGAGGAAAGAAUGGACGUCAAGCCGCUGGUCUGUCCUUCCCCCGAUCUCUCCAGCAAGAGAUGGCAGUGACACAGUGGCUUCUCAAUCGCGCUGUUCUCAGGUCAGCUCAAGCCAGUCCCGUGUGUUUGAUGAACUGGAGGCCGUCGCCCCCCGGACAUCCUUCUGUCCGUCCCUGGACCACCCUCUCAGCUCAGCAGACUGCAGCCCACCUGGCACAGAUAUGUCCCCUGGCCUUGCUGCUCUGACAGUAGGUUGUGACAUGGGGGAGCUGGGCUCCCUUUCCCGGGUGCAGCUCCUGCUCUUGGACCGACCGGAACCCAUGAACCCGCGCUUUCUCUCUGGUCAACACCAGCACUCACUGGGAAAGGAUGUAACAAGAGGCCACACUGCCAAGCUCAGCGCCAGCAGACCCGGACCAUGUGCCACAGGCGUCCUACAGCCCGUCACAGCUGCCAGCUGUGGAAACGGCAGUGCUUCGGAGAGGUGUGCUGCCACAGGCGAAGUCCGUGGAGAGCGUGAACUCACGAUGCCAGGAGACCCGGAGGAUGGCCCCAGGUCUCCGUGGUCGUGGACCGGUGACUCCGGUCCAUCCGACAUCAUCUCCAGGUCUCCCUGCUCACCCUGCCAGUACAGCUGUGAUGGGGAGGAGUCGGACAGCCAAACAAGCCAGGCCUCUACUACCCUGAAUGACAGAAACUCAGGCCCCGGCCCUGACCAGGAAGCCUCAGAGAGGGAGGAGCCUGGUUGCACUCUCCGAGGGGAGCGUGUCGGAACUUCCGCGGGUGGGAGGAGGAGACCUGGGAGGACGGAGCGCAGAAUGAGGCAGAAGGAGCGAAUAAGGGAAGAGAGAAAAACAAAGGUGCUGAACAUCUACUCCAAGCUCCAGGACAGAGGUGCCCUCCAGCCGAGCCACAACCGGGGGCGCUCCAAGUUCGAGGACUUCAACUUCUUGGCAAAGUAUUGCAUUUUCAGCCAGGAGAAACUGACAGAAUACAAAAGGGCUUUUGAAGCGGUGGACAGUGACAGAGAUGGUUACAUCUCCUGCUUGCAAGUGCUGUUGGGACUGAAGAAGAUCAUCCCUUCAGAACUGCUGUCUGAUGAGGAAGAGAUCUACGUCUACAGAAUACUCGAAAUGGUGGAUUUCAGGGUGACAGAUGGACUUACAGACCUGCGGCUCUUUGCGGUGAUUGCCAGUCUGGCACAGAAAAUAGCCACCAUGGAUGUGUUCAUGCGUUCCCUUAUAAGCAAAAUGGACUUUCGUUCUUUGGAGUUGAAGCUUUACAAGGCAAAGCAGCUGUUCCUGUUCCUGCUGGAGGGGCAGUCAGGAGGCUCUGUAGCCCAGCAAGGCUGUAUCAGCGCAGAGCAGCUCCUGGUGGAGCUGAAGGCCGGGGGCGUCCGACCGGAACAAGAGGAAGCCAUCAAACAGGAGCUCCAACACGUCGGCUCCCUGGACCUGCUGGACUUCCUGGCGUACCUGCCCCUCUUCCUCCUCAUCCACAACUCGGUCAUCACCAACCCACUGGAUGACUCCAGCAACCUGUGAUGUCAUCCUUUACCCAGGGUGGACUCAGUUCUAUUGUAUCCUGCCUCUACACGGUGGUUACAAAGUUACACGCUCACUUGCUGAAGAUCGUCCUCCUUUUUUUUUCCCCCUUCUUAUUUUAGUAGUUGGGAACACUUUUAAUGUUGUUGGGUUUUUUUUGUGUGUCGUCUGAGGCGUUUCUUCAAAAGGGCUUUGGAAACUCCCUUUGGAAUAUGUAUUUAGAAAUGACCUACCCCUGUGCUUUGGGCUACAGAAGGUGGACAUUUAGGCUUGAGAAUGGUGCUGUCUAUGGUACUGAAAUAUGUGGGGCUUUUCAAUUGCAGUUCAUGUUGAACAAGUAAUUCACUGAAUACGGCCAUAACAGGUUUAGACUCUAAUAAGGAUGUGUUGCUAAUUGUCUGCCAAAUGUUAAAAUGCGGCCACAAAUUGAAAAUCAUGCAAAACCUGCUGUUGAUAUGAGCGUCUGAUUUAUGCCAGACCCUUGCACUGUUUAUUCCGACGGGAAUAUGAUGGCUCACAACUUCAGCAUCUUGAUGAUGUGCCAUUAUCAAAAUAAAAAAGGGCAAGUGUAGUCUAACCUAAAUCUCCUAUGUGUUUUCAAUCUCUUAGCUUAAGGUGAGAGCGUCCGGAAAGAAAUUGCUGAUUAGAUAUGGCAGUGUGCUCUUUAUUUUCCAUCACGCUUCACAGAGUCGGUGAGGAAAGCAUUAAUGCACUCUGACAGGCGGUUACGGAAUUGUUCGGACCAUUCAUUGCUUUUUUCGGGUGGCUGUUUCAUACAAAUGCUAUAAUGCCUAAUAAGGGUACCAAAGAGCGCCGCAAAUAUUGCCGGUUUUUUCUUCUUCUUGCAAAUAGCAGAUGUUGUUGCUGGUGUAGUUUCAGUGCCUUAACAACACAGUUGACUUACUCUAACAUUUAAAAUCUCUACACAAGUACAAUUUACAAAUGUUCAAAUGGAUCAUCAAAAUGGCAGUCUACCCAUAUAUCAGUCCAAGCAAGAUAGUAAAAAUCUAAAUCUACUUAACAAGGCAGAAAUAAAUGGAAAGGGACUAGCAUUCAGUACCAGUGUCCACAAUAAACGUGAGACAGUAGCGUGGAGCGAAUGGGUGCAUGCUGGUGGUAGAUUAUGCAUGUGUACAUUGAGUGUGGGUGAUUGAGUUAUUGAGAGAGAGGGUGUGUUAGUUGAGUGUGUGUGAUUGUGAAUGCGAUGACUGCGUGUAAAUGAGCUGGUUGUGUAUGUGGCCCUAGGGUGCAGGUUAGAGUGCAGGGCGGAAAGGUACAAUCCCAUUUCCAAAAGAGUUGGGACGCUGCGUAAAAUGUAAAUAACAACAAAAUGCAAUGAUGUGCAAAUCAUUUCACCCCUAUAUUUAAUAGAAAAGAGUACAAAGACAACAUAUCAAAUGUUGAAACUGAGACAUUUUAUUGUUUCUUGAAAAAUAUAUGCCCACUUUUAAAAAGCUGGGACAGAGGCAACAAAACACUAGAAAAGUUGUGUAAUGCUAAAACUAAACCUGGUGGAAUAUCACACAACUAAUUAAGUUAUUUGGCAACAGGUCAGUAACAUGAUUGACUAUUAAAAGAUCAUUCCAGAGAGGAUGGGUCUGUCAGAAGUGAGGGGUUCACCACUCGGAAAGACUGCGCAGGCAAAUAGUGCAACAAUUAAAAAAUAACCUUUCUCAACGUAGCAUUGCAAAGAGUUUGGGGAUCUCAUCACCUACGGUACAUAAUAAUAUAAAAAGAUUCAGACAACCUGGAGAAAUCUUUGUCUGCAAGGGACAAGGCCAAAAACCAAUUUUGGAUGGUCAUGAUCUUCAGGCCCUCAGGCUGCACUGCAUUAAAAACAGACACAAUUCUGUAGUGGAAAUCACUGCAUGGGCUCAGGAACACUUACAAAAUCCAUUGUGUGUGAACACAGUAUGUCGCUGCAUCCACAAAUGCAAGUUAAAACUUCACCAUGCAAAGAAGAAACCAUACAUAAACAACUUCCAGAACCAUUGUUGCUUUCUCUGGGCCCAAACUCAUUUAAGAUGGACUGAGGCAAAGUGGAAAACUCUCCUGUGGUCUGAUGAAUCCAAAUUUGAAAUUACAUUUUUGAAUCAUGGAUGCCGGAAUCAUGGAUGCCUCUGGACUAAAGAGAGGGACCACCCAGCUUAUCAUCAGUGCACAGUUCAAAGCCAGCAACUGUGAUUCUAUGGGGGUGCAUGUGGCAUGGGUGAGUUGCAAUUAUGUGAAGGCACCAUUAAUGCUGAACAAUGUAUGCAGGUUUUGGAGCAACAUAUGCUACCACCCAGAUGAUGUCUUUUUCAGAGGAGGCUUUGCUUAUUUCAGCAAGACAAUGCUAAACCACAUUCUGCACAUAUUACAACAGCAUGGCUCCAUAGUAAAAGGGUCUGGGUGCUAAACUGGCCUGUCUGCAGUCCAGACCCGUCACCCAUUGAAAACAUUUGGCACAUUAUGAAACGAAGAAUAUGACAAAGGAGACCCCGAACUGUUGAGCAGCUGAAAUCCCAUAUCAAGCAAGAAUGGUAAUACAUUGCACUUUUCAAAACUACUGCAAUUUUUCUCCUCAGUUCCCAAACGCUUGCUGAGUAUUGUUAAAAGAGCUGAUGCAACACAGUGGUAAACCUGUUCUGUCCCAACUUUUUUUGAAACAUGUUGCUGGCAUCAAAUUCAAAACAAUAACAUUUCUGUUUAAACAUUUCAUAUGUUUUCUUUGUACUAUUUUCAAUUAAAUAUAGGGAUAAAUGGUUUACACAUCAUUGAAUUUUUUUGCUGCAUUUUAUGCAGCAUCCCAACUGACCAAACUUAACAUUUCUUAUUCUUCUUUCCAUUAAAUGUCAAACAGUAAAAUGUAAGCAAACUUUUAAACUGAAAUUUUUUCUCUAUGGCAAAAUGCAUGUGGCUAUCCAAACCCAGAGCCACUAGGGUACAUCCCAAAUGUUUUAUUUUUGUGCGCCCCACCUUUGGCCUUGAGGCUUUAUUUUUCAACAAGCUCUACUAAAAUGAAUGUAGGCCUACAGAAGCCCUGCCCUGGAAGAUAUUUUUGUGAUUGUAUUUAACCGAAUAAAUCGUUAAUGUAACAUGAGCUAUGCAGUUCAUUUCUGUCAUGGAAUGCUUUAUAGAAUUGUGGUAAAAUCACAGGUUAAUAAGUG
ensembl:lncRNA